UGUUAUUGAUUUGGACGACAGGGGGAAAUUGAGAAUAAAAUUUAGUUUGAGUCCUUAAUUUUUUUUAAAAAGGUCAUGGGGUAAAUUAAUAAUUAGGUACAAGUUCGAGAGGCAUUUCGGCAGUUUACCCUAAUAUCUAUAAAGUACAAACUAAUGCAACUAGAAGAGUCCUUUUUUAUUAUUAAUUUUUUAAUUAAAUAAUAUAGCUAGGCGGCCAU
rnacentral:lncRNA from 1 species